rnacentral:rRNA from 1 species
CCUACGGGUGGCAGCAGUAGGGAAUCUUCCACAAUGGACGAAAGUCUGAUGGAGCAACGCCGCGUGAGUGAAGAAGGGUUUCGGCUCGUAACGCUCUGUUGGUAGUGAAGAAAGAUAGAGGUAGUAACUGGCCUUUAUUUGACGGUAAUUACUUAGAAAGUCACGGCUAACUACGUUCCAGCAGCCGCGGUAAUACGUAGGUGGCAAGCGUUGUCCGGAUUUAUUGGGCGUAAAGCGAGUGCAGGCGGUUCAAUAAGUCUGAUUGGAAAGCCUUCGGCUGAACCGGAGAAUUGCAUCAGAAACUGUUGAACUUGAGUGCAGAAGAGGAGAGUGGAACUCCAUGUGUAGCGGUGGAAUGCGUAGAUAUAUGGAAGAACACCAGUGGCGAAGGCGGCUCUCUGGUCUGCAACUGACGCUGAGGCUCGAAAGCAUGGGUAGCGAACAGGAUUAGAUACCCGGGUAGUC